GCUUCAAAAGUCUUCGCGGUUGCGACCUUCUCCCUGAGACCUCUGCUGUGACAGUACGCAGGGUCACAGUAAGAGCACCUCAGGGGCCAGGUCUCAAUUGAGCCCCUCUUCGAUAAGC
rnacentral:precursor_RNA from 9 species